UAUUAUAUAGUAUGUAUUUUUGUAUAUAGUAAUGCAGUCUGAUGUUACACAAUAGAUAUAACUUAAAAAAAAAACACUUUGAGAAAAUAGCGAUCACCAGAAAGGAGGAGGGGCCCUCCACAGCCUUUUUCCUUCCCAACGCACCUCACAGGUUUAUAAUAUAUGUAAGUGUACAAUUUCCUCAUCAAUCUGGUGUUGAUUUUUAUUAACAAUCUAAAAGUUCUGUUUUAUUUACAAUUCCAGAAUGUGCCAACCAAUUUGUUAGGAAAGUGGCCAACCUUUGACAUGUGAGUCGUUCGACCGCCGAAUGUGGUCUUGGACAAGCGAUAUUUAUAUGCACAAAUCGCGGAACUAUCACUUGAGAAUCAUAAGGCCUAGCCCACAGAAAGCGCUUUUAGAAAUCAGACCGUGUCUCCAUGUUGAGAACGCUUCGAAAGUGCAUAAGAUAUUCGGUGCUGAGAGGAAAAGAACUGUGUUUGGUAUUUAUAAACACGCAGAGAAACCAAAUCAAAUAUAGUGGCGUUGUGUAUUUUUCCAUGAAUACAAAACAUACAUACAUACAUAUAUGAGGCACGUGCCAACCGGCGUUUCUAUAAGUGAAGCUAAAGGCUCUCGUUCCAUUGAAAUAACAAUUUCGCUUUUCGCCAAGGCAGAAAAGUUUCUGCUCGGACUUCCGCUUCCUGGUCAACAUAAUUAAAAGUACUUUCCCUACGCCCAGUGAAACGUAAUCCAAGGAGCCACACACAAAUCCUGGCUUUCUCUUUUUGUGUUUGUUUUGAAUUUCUAUGGGACCCAAGACGCUCCUUUCUUCUCUUUCCGCAGAGAUGCCAAAAUAAUCAGAGUUCAAAAUGAAUUUAAUGAAUGAAAAUUGG